ACCUGGGACUUAAAGUAAGUCUCCUGGGGUGUGGAGAGUACGUCGGCUGAGGCGAUGUCCAGAUGCAGCAGGAUCUGUCGGAAUGAUGGACGAUUUCGUGGUUUGCUGUUCCUGGAGGGAAUGGAGUCGUGGGGGAGAGAGGAAUUUCAGGGAGGUCCAGAAAGGAACUAGAGCAUCCUUUCCCAAAGGGUGUCCUGGAGAAUCCAACUCUAGAAUGUAUUCUGUGACAAAAUUCCCUGGUCAACUAUCUAGGAAAUGUUACAGGCCAUCUGUUAGUAUAUCAAAGUCCUGCAGUAAGGAAACCUAUUUAAUCCUAUUUUCCAACUUGCUUGCCAAAACAAACCUUUUUGAGUAACUGCAUUAAAAGAAACACAUUUGGGGAAAUGCUUAGCCAAAGAUUAGAAAUCUCCCACCUUCCUCCAUGGUCUAGGAUCCAAACAAGGGUCCAGGGCCUCCCGCGUUCUAAGACAGUCUACUUGAGGCUCAGCCAAUCAUGCUCAGCGGCUGUGCUGGUCCUUCACAGGCGCUUCAUAGCCACCCUCUAUAGCAGAUAUUGUUGUCCCCAUUUUGCAGAUAAGGAAACAGGUUCAGAGGGAACACUGCUUGCCCAAGGUCACACACGGUUUGUGCACCCCUGCAGACUAUAUUGGUCAGCCCAGUUUCUCUCAGUUCUUUAUCCUAGUCCCCUUGACACACACUCUGAAUCCUGGGGUCUUUCUUGGAGAGCCAUAUUUGGGAGCUCUGUCCCCCUUUCCCUGUUCAGGACUCUGGGCCUGGAUGCCCGGGUCCUGGGUGCUGGCUAACUGUCGGCCACCUCCCUUGCUUCCAGCUUGGCCAGGUGGUCCUUACCAGCACUGGCGAAGCAGGAUUUUGAAGCCGUCUGGGCAGCUGGAGGGCACAGGCAGAUGGAGACUAUUGCUUCCCACACCCCAGAUGAUGGCUGAGGAAUCUACGUCUUUGUAGGGGAUCUCACCAGUCAGCAGUUCCCACAGAACCACACCAAAGGACCUAGGGAUAAGAGGGGACGUCACUUGGGGGGUCUUCCUCCAGAGGCCCUGCAGGUUACCACGGGCUUGUCUCACUUCUCACUUGUACUCAGGCCCUGGAAGAACCCCCCACCCCGCCAGCUCUCAUGGUGGCUGCCUGCUAUUCUCAGUCCUCAGCCUGGCCCUCACCAGAUGUCGACCUUCUCAGACACAGGCUCGUUGCGGAUCACUUCAGGGGCCAUCCAGGCUACUGUUCCUGCAAAGGACAUCUUGGUGCUCUUGUCACUCAGCUCCUUGGAAGUGCCAAAAUCGGAGAUCUUCACCACAUCGUCGUACGUGAUUAGCAUGCUGCCACCUCCUCCCCAUGGAAGCGCCCCAGGAAGACGGCGCCCUGGGCCCCUGAGCCCACCCACUGCAGGUCCAGGAUUUCCUCAAAGGGGACCUCCCAAAGGGGACACAGUUCGAGCCCUGGUCCGGGAAGAUCCCACAUGCCGUGGAGCAACGAAGCCCGUGCGCCACAACUACUGAAGCCCGCGCGCCUAGAGCCCGUGCUCCGCAAUGAGAAGCCACCGCAGUGAGAAGCCCGCUCGCCGCAACUAGAGAAAGCCCGCGCACAGCAACGAAGACCCAACGCAACCCAAAAUAAAUAAAUUAAUUAAAAAAAAA